AUGAACAGUUUACAGUCACUUGUAGAACUGUCUGUCUCUUUCCAGUAUCUGAAGUUUGACAGUCUCAAAGGGCAUCUCUGGGAAUUUUUGAGUGUCAGUGUGCCGCUCAAAGAGUGGCAGGAGGGGCCCCUAGCAGCCAGUGCAGCAAGGCAGACAGGACCCGCAUGCCAGCACCCGGCCUGUCUGAUGACACUGAUUCCGAAAGAGCAAAGAGGCAAACCUGUAUGGAAGUCACACGGGCAGCGCAUGGAUCCCCAUCAACUGCAGUGUAAACAGAAUAGAAAUAACUCCUUACGAAGAUGCAGUAUUUGGGUGGCAUUACCAUAUAAUACCUACCUCUGUGAACAGCACUACCUAGCAAACAGCAUUAACUGUAAGUAAUUUAGAGGAAAUAACAGAAUAUGGUAACAGUUUUUUAAACGAUAAUUAGAUUUUAGGCAACACUAACAGAGAUACAGUUUUGAAAACAGGAGAGAUCAAAACUCUUUCUUAGAAUGGACUUUAGGAAAAGCAAACUUGAUGGUACGGAGCAAAUGUUUGCAUCCUUCCCCUCCCCCACCGAAUUCAUACACUGAAAUCCUAACCCCCAAAGUAAUGGACUAGCCGGUGGGGGCAUUGGGAGGUGAUGAGGUCACAAGGGUGGAGCCCUCAUGAAUGGGAUUAGUGCCUUUAUAACAGGGGCCUCAGGGAGGCCACCAGCCCCCUCCAGCAUGUGAGGACACAGCAAGGUGCCGUCUAUGAAUCAGGAAAUGCACCCUCACCAGACACCAGUCUGCUUGUUGCUUGAUCUUGGGGUGCCAGUCUCCAGAACUGAGAAGUAAGUUCUGCCAUUUAUAAAGUAGCCAGCCUGAGAUAUUAGAGCAGCCUGAUUGGACUAAGACACUGAUCACUGAUCAUGUCAUUCCUCUGCUUGAAAUCUUGUAAAGAACCCCCUUAUUAAUAAACUCCCCUAGUCUGUCUCCUGCCCAUGUUCCAAGCAACUCUUCUGCCAAUGGACGCCCACACUCUUCUCUAGCAUUUUAUGCUCUGCUAAUUCUGUUGUCUCUGUACUUCCCCAAAUGCAUGAUACCUACCUUCCCUCUCUACCUAGAAAGUCCCUGCAGAACUCAUACAACUUACCAACGUUUUAUUCAUCUUGCAAGACCUCUGUCUGACUUCACACUGCUCCUGUUUUCUUUGUACAUUGUUCUAUGCAUGUUUCUUUAUACAUUGUUCUAUGAUUUGGUUUACAUGUUCUGUUCUGCCCCCAUCAAGUAGG
rnacentral:lncRNA from 1 species